rnacentral:rRNA from 1 species
CGGGACACGUGGUAUCCUGUCUGAAUAUGGGGGGACCAUCCUCCAAGGCUAAAUACUCCUGACUGACCGAUAGUGAACCAGUACCGUGAGGGAAAGGCGAAAAGAACCCCGGCGAGGGGAGUGAAAAAGAACCUGAAACCGUGUACGUACAAGCAGUGGGAGCACGCUUAGGCGUGUGACUGCGUACCUUUUGUAUAAUGGGUCAGCGACUUAUAUUCUGUAGCAAGGUUAACCGAAUAGGGGAGCCGAAGGGAAACCGAGUCUUAACUGGGCGUUAAGUUGCAGGGUAUAGACCCGAAACCCGGUGAUCUAGCCAUGGGCAGGUUGAAGGUUGGGUAACACUAACUGGAGGACCGAACCGACUAAUGUUGAAAAAUUAGCGGAUGACUUGUGGCUGGGGGUGAAAGGCCAAUCAAACCGGGAGAUAGCUGGUUCUCCCCGAAAGCUAUUUAGGUAGCGCCUCGUGAAUUCAUCUCCGGGGGUAGAGCACUGUUUCGGCAAGGGGGUCAUCCCGACUUACCAACCCGAUGCAAACUGCGAAUACCGGAGAAUGUUAUCACGGGAGACACACGGCGGGUGCUAACGUCCGUCGUGAAGAGGGAAACAACCCAGACCGCCAGCUAAGGUCCCAAAGUCAUGGUUAAGUGGGAAACGAUGUGGGAAGGCCCAGACAGCCAGGAUGUUGGCUUAGAAGCAGCCAUCAUUUAAAGAAAGCGUAAUAGCUCACUGGUCGAGUCGGCCUGCGCGGAAGAUGUAACGGGGCUAAACCAUGCACCGAAGCUGCGGCAGCGACGCUGAUGCGUUGUUGGGUAGGGGAGCGUUCUGUAAGCCUGUGAAGGUGUGCUGUGAGGCAUGCUGGAGGUAUCAGAAGUGCGAAUGCUGACAUAAGUAACGAUAAAGCGGGUGAAAAGCCCGCUCGCCGGAAGACCAAGGGUUCCUGUCCAACGUUAAUCGGGGCAGGGUGAGUCGACCCCUAAGGCGAGGCCGAAAGGCGUAGUCGAUGGGAAACAGGUUAAUAUUCCUGUACUUGGUGUUACUGCGAAGGGGGGACGGAGAAGGCUAUGUUGGCCGGGCGACGGUUGUCCCGGUUUAAGCGUGUAGGCUGGUUUUCCAGGCAAAUCCGGAAAAUCAAGGCUGAGGCGUGAUGACGAGGCACUACGGUGCUGAAGCAACAAAUGCCCUGCUUCCAGGAAAAGCCUCUAAGCAUCAGGUAACAUCAAAUCGUACCCCAAACCGACACAGGUGGUCAGGUAGAGAAUACCAAGGCGCUUGAGAGAACUCGGGUGAAGGAACUAGGCAAAAUGGUGCCGUAACUUCGGGAGAAGGCACGCUGAUAUGUAGGUGAAGCGACUUGCUCGUGGAGCUGAAAUCAGUCGAAGAUACCAGCUGGCUGCAACUGUUUAUUAAAAACACAGCACUGUGCAAACACGAAAGUGGACGUAUACGGUGUGACGCCUGCCCGGUGCCGGAAGGUUAAUUGAUGGGGUCAGCGCAAGCGAAGCUCUUGAUCGAAGCCCCGGUAAACGGCGGCCGUAACUAUAACGGUCCUAAGGUAGCGAAAUUCCUUGUCGGGUAAGUUCCGACCUGCACGAAUGGCGUAAUGAUGGCCAGGCUGUCUCCACCCGAGACUCAGUGAAAUUGAACUCGCUGUGAAGAUGCAGUGUACCCGCGGCAAGACGGAAAGACCCCGUGAACCUUUACUAUAGCUUGACACUGAACAUUGAGCCUUGAUGUGUAGGAUAGGUGGGAGGCUUUGAAGUGUGGACGCCAGUCUGCAUGGAGCCGGCCUUGAAAUACCACCCUUUAAUGUUUGAUGUUCUAACGUUGACCCGUGAUCCGGGUUGCGGACAGUGUCUGGUGGGUAGUUUGACUGGGGCGGUCUCCUCCUAAAGAGUAACGGAGGAGCACGAAGGUUGGCUAAUCCUGGUCGGACAUCAGGAGGUUAGUGCAAUGGCAUAAGCCAGCUUGACUGCGAGCGUGACGGCGCGAGCAGGUGCGAAAGCAGGUCAUAGUGAUCCGGUGGUUCUGAAUGGAAGGGCCAUCGCUCAACGGAUAAAAGGUACUCCGGGGAUAACAGGCUGAUACCGCCCAAGAGUUCAUAUCGACGGCGGUGUUUGGCACCUCGAUGUCGGCUCAUCACAUCCUGGGGCUGAAGUAGGUCCCAAGGGUAUGGCUGUUCGCCAUUUAAAGUGGUACGCGAGCUGGGUUUAGAACGUCGUGAGACAGUUCGGUCCCUAUCUGCCGUGGGCGCUGGAGAACUGAGGGGGGCUGCUCCUAGUACGAGAGGACCGGAGUGGACGCAU